UCGACAACGGCUGCUUUUAAUUUCGUUA
rnacentral:sRNA from 1 species